CUCAUCCUUUUCAAAUUCUACAAGAUGGGGUCAUAGAUAUACCUUCUUCAUGCCAAUCUUCUAUAAGAGUUUUCUUGUGGACUAACGUUGGUCAAUGAAGAUCCCCUUUCCUGUUUGUCUUAAUUUGGAGUUUGAGAGAAGAUGUUAAUUCAUUCAUCAUACAUAUUUCAAACUCACCUUGCAAUAUAACUCUUCAUUAGUAGAACCAGAAAUGAUGUCAUUAAUGUAUACUUUGAGCAAGUAAGAUAUCACACAUUUUUUGAUGCAAAGAAUUAUCACUAUUACCUUAUAUCAAAGAGGUUGCUUAACCUUUUAUAUCAUGCUUUUGAUGCUUGUUUCAAAUCAUAUAUUGCUUUAUCAUAUUUGUAAUGAGUGUUUUCAAAUAUGGUGGUUAUUUAACAUAUAUCUUCUUUAAUAAAAUAAGUACCUAGGAGUGCAUUCUACACAUUCAUUUGAUAGAAUAUAAAGCUCAUAAAGCAAGCAAAUGAUAAUGGUGAUCUUUACUUCUAAUCAUGCAAGAAUCAAGAUCUAUUUCAUCUU
rnacentral:lncRNA from 1 species